GUGGGGAAUAUUGGACAAUGGGGGCAACCCUGAUCCAGCAAUGCCGCGUGUGUGAAGAAGGCCUGCGGGUUGUAAAGCACUUUCAGUUGAGAAGAAAAAAUAAAGGUUAAUACCCUUUAUCUUGACGUAACCAACAGAAGAAGCACCGGCUAACUCCGUGCCAGCAGCCGCGGUAAUACGGAGGGUGCAAGCGUUAAUCGGAAUUACUGGGCGUAAAGCGCGCGUAGGCGGUUCGAUAAGUCGGAUGUGAAAUCCCCGGGCUCAACCUGGGAAUUGCAUUCGAAACUGUCGAGCUAGAGUGUGGAAGAGGGAAGUGGAAUUCCAGGUGUAGCGGUGAAAUGCGUAGAUAUCUGGAGGAACAUCAGUGGCGAAGGCGGCUUCCUGGUCCAACACUGACGCUGAGGUGCGAAAGCGUGGGGAGCAAACAGG
rnacentral:rRNA from 1 species